rnacentral:rRNA from 1 species
UACAGAGGGGGCAAGCGUUAUUCGGAAUUAUUGGGCGUAAAGGGCGCGUAGGCGGCUUUGCAAGUGGCGGGUGAAAUCCCUCGGCUUAACCGAGGAACUGCCUGCCAGACUGUGAGGCUUGAGACCGGGAGAGGUGAGUGGAAUUCCCAGUGUAGCGGUGAAAUGCGUAGAUAUGCGGAGGAACACCGAUGGCGAAGGCAAUCCCCUGGACCUGUACUGACGCUCAUGCACGAAAGCGUGGGGAGCAAACAGG